rnacentral:lncRNA from 1 species
UCUGAGAAACUUGGCCUAAAUUUUCAGGUAACAUGUGACAGGUGUAAAAGCUGUGUUGUUUCCUAGUAUUCAAUAGAGCUAAAGAGUUACCAUUCAGAGUUAAGACUAUCACCCUUGAUAUUACACGAAUAUGAGAAAGAGUAGAGAAUCAAGCUAUUAUCUCCAUAGACUUACAGUCCAUUAACUCAUUUAUGAGUUUAUUGACUCACUUAAGUUAUGAGAUCAGUGACAGUGCAAAGCAGGGCUGGAGAUUAUAAUGGGGAUGAGAGCAUUUUAUAGGAUUUUGCUGAAUCACAGAACACUGUUUAGACAAGGAAACCAACAAAUCAAUGAGAAGGUAGAGAAGUUGGAAGAGCAAAAGGCCUUUUGGGAAAUCCCACUGACUUUGCUCAUUUGCCUAGAACUGGACUGGAAAGCCCUUAUAAAGGGCUGAUAUUUCAGUCAUAAUGUAAUUAGUAGAGUAGAACAUAAAAGGGAGUAUAUUACCUCUCUGCCAAGCUUUUGAUGAAAGAUCUAUGUGCAGUGGUAUGUAAGAGCCAGCUAGCUCUUUAUGACUGUCAAUUGUUAAAUUUCCAAACAAUAUCAAACCCAGUUCAUAGACGUUUGCUUGUUUGAAUUUACCGGUGUGGAACUACUACACCAUGGGAGUUGGUAAAUGUUACAAAUCAUGUUUCUCCCCCUCACCCGCUUCCACAGCUUCUUCAUAGCAGAGUCAAUGCUCAGCAGCAUUUCAAGACUUGAGGUUCCAUCAGCAGACCAUUCUCUUGGAGCUACAACUCCCCUCACUUAGAGGAAUUAGAGACGUUCAAUGAGGCUUUUGACUGACAUCUAUUCACUUCAAGGGUGAUUUUCCUGUUGGCAAGAGGCAGAAGAGACACACCAAGCAGCACCUUCAGGAACAAGCAAUUUAAGUACUAUAAUGAGAUGGGUCUUUUCAGAGUCUAUAAUUGGUGACAAGUUGAAAACUGCAAAUGCUGGUGACUUCUUAAAAAAAAAAAUCUGUCUACAUAGACCCUCAUCUUUCCCCUCAACUACUUCUCUGGACAAAGGAAGCAGGUGCGGUUCUUUCUUGGACAUGCAUCUGAUCUUUUCUAACCUAGACCUGGAUUUUCCUUGGUAAGUGUCAUAUACUCUGAUAUUUUGUAUGAUACAAUUGCCACCAUUGCAGUGGUGUUGCAGCACAAGUAC